AGCAGCCAGAGCCUUCCCUCA
rnacentral:miRNA from 1 species